rnacentral:rRNA from 1 species
GACGAACGCUGGCGGCGCGCUUAACACAUGCAAGUCGAACGGAAAGGCCUGCUUUCCCUUGUGGAUUGCGGGUACUCGAGUGGCGAACGGGUGAGUAACACGUGAGUGAUCUGCCCCCAACUUGGGUAUAAGCCUGGGAAACUGGGUCUAAUUCCCGAUAGGACUGCAGGGUGGUGCCUGUGGUGGAAAACGGUUUUCUAGUGGUUGGGGAUGAGCUCGCGGCCUAUCAGCUUGUUGGUGGGGUAAUGGCCUACCAAGGCGGCGACGGGUAGCCGGCCUGGGAGGGUGGACGGCGACAUUGGGACUGAGAUACGGCCCAGACUCCUACGGGAGGCAGCAGUGGGGAAUAUUGCACAAUGGGCGGAAGCCUGAUGCAGCGACGCCGCGUGGGGGAUGACGGCCUUCGGGUUGUAAACUCCUUUCGACCGCGAGGAAGCCACCUGGUUGGAAGGGUGGUGACGGUAGUGGUAGAAGAAGCACCGGCUAACUACGUG